UAAACUUGAAAGAUUAAAACAAAAUAAACACCACCAAACACACACUUAGGUGUGUUUGGUCGAUUAAAAACGCAGGGAACGAGCAGGAGCUUCACACAAACCCUAACUCUCACUAAAUCAAUCAAUUGAAGGCUCUAAUCUGGUCCAAAUCGAAAUCCGAGCACGUAUUAGUGAUCCCCACUGAAAAAGGAGUCACAAGUUUGACUCUAAACAAGCUAGGUGGGAGCUUGGAAAGGAACGGGUCAAACGAAUGAUGGAUGCGAAGGAUGUUUGCGCGGACGCGAGGGAACGAGCAGGAGCUUCACACAAACCCUAACUCUCACUAAAUCAAUCAAUUGAAGGCUCUAAUCUGGUCCAAAUCGAAAUCCGAGCACGUAUUAGUGAUCCCCACUGAAAAAGGAGUCACAAGUUUGACUCUAAACAAGCUAGGUGGGAGCUUGGAAAGGAACGGGUCAAACGAAUGAUGGAUGCGAAGGAUGUUUGCGCGGACGCGAGGGUAAAACGGCUUAUGGAAUUUACGUGGCUAUGAAUCAGCAAAUUAUUAAGGAAAGGUAUUAAAACGGGUCAAUACUUUGACCCGCGCCAGGUACAUUUUGGAUGCCGGAAGACGAUCAAGCUCGACGAAGGACCGAACACGAUAUAGAUACAUGCUUCCGCACUCUAACACAUUGCAAAUUUUUAACAACGAAUUCAACCACGUUAUGUAGAAUAACUUAUGAAUUGUAAAAGUUUUAA
rnacentral:lncRNA from 1 species